AUACGGAGGGUGCAAGCGUUAAUCGGAAUUACUGGGCGUAAAGCGUACGUAGGCGGUUAUUUAAGUCAGAUGUGAAAGCCCCGGGCUUAACUUGGGAACUGCAUUUGAAACUGGGUAACUAGAGUUUAGUAGAGGGGAGUGGAAUUUCAGGUGUAGCGGUGAAAUGCGUAGAGAUCUGAAGGAACACCAGUGGCGAAGGCGACUCCCUGGACUCGAACUGACGCUGAGGUACGAAAGCGUGGGUAGCAAACGGGAUUAGAUACCCCAGUAGUCC
rnacentral:rRNA from 1 species